AGUGAUCUUCCAUUUCUUGACCUCAUUGUUUUCUUUGGAAGGACGCAAGCAUUGCUGAGGAGCCAUUUGACGUGCCGCCACACUAAUAUUGUAUUUGGCAAAGCCGAAGGCAUCUGUAAGCAGCCAGUCAUUCCAAUUCUCUACCAAUCUUUCCUCUAAUCAGUCAAUUUCUAGUGUCUAUGCAGAAAUGACUAGCGCAAGGGUGGACACGGGACACUGAAAAGGCGACAAGGCCAGCCGCUAACUUCCAACUGGUGUUCAUUAUAAAAAGGUAUGUAUAUGUACUCUUGCGCACUUGACCAUAAUCAGUUACAAUCGUGCAAGUCAACAUGGUCAUCACAAAUAAACGAGCGCACCAAGGCCAAAGGCGGCUUCGCACAUAUAGACCCAAGAUAUGCAAAUUCUUUAACAGUCAAUGCUAUGGGGAUGGCUUGCUAACGCAGUUGAAUUCUGCGAUAGCCGCUGCCUCAAUGAUGAGUCAAGUGCUU
rnacentral:lncRNA from 1 species